GACGAACGCUGGCGGCGUGCCUAAUACAUGCGAGUAGAACGCUGAAGGAGGAGCUUGCUUCUCUGGAUGAGUUGCGAACGGGUGAGUAGCGCGUAGGUAACCUGCCUGGUAGCGGGGGAUAACUAUUGGAAACGAUAGCUAAUACCGCAUAAGAGUAGAUGUUGCAUGACAUUUGCUUAAAAGGUGCAAUUGCAUCACUACCAGAUGGACCUGCGUUGUAUUAGCUAGUUGGUGGGGUAACGGCUCACCAAGGCGACGAUACAUAGCCGACCUGAGAGGGUGAUCGGCCACACUGGGACUGAGACACGGCCCAGACUCCUACGGGAGGCAGCAGUAGGGAAUCUUCGGCAAUGGACGGAAGUCUGACCGAGCAACGCCGCGUGAGUGAAGAAGGUUUUCGGAUCGUAAAGCUCUGUUGUAAGAGAAGAACGAGUGUGAGAGUGGAAAGUUCACACUGUGACGGUAUCUUACCAGAAAGGGACGGCUAACUACGUG
rnacentral:rRNA from 1 species